AACGGAGGACGCGAGCGUUAUCCGGAGUUACUGGGCGUAAAGGGUGGGCAGGCGGCCGUGUCAGAUGGGUGUGAAAUCUCCCGGCUCAACCGGGAGGGGCCACUCGUGACUGCACGGCUCGAGGACUGCAGAGGGUAGGGGAAUUGCUGGUGUAGUGGUGAAAUGCGUAGAGAUCAGCAGGAACACCAAGGCCGAAGGGACCUACCUGGGCAGUAUCUGACACUCAAGUGCGACAGCGUGGGGAGCGAACCGG
rnacentral:rRNA from 1 species